rfam:Daphnia pulex DAPPTscaffold_7122_Cont17179, whole genome shotgun sequence.
AAUAGUGUGGCCGAGUGGUCUAUGGCGCUGGUUUUAGGCACCAGUCUCUUCGGAGGCAAGGGUUCGAAUCCUUCACUGUCA